AUGUAAUCAAUCAAGUCAUGUUAGAUCCUAUUGGUAUUUAACUCCUGUGUCUAAGUGUAUAGGAAGAGCACAAGAAGUCAAGCGAAAGACGCAGCUAGCGAGAAGAACGACACGGGAGAGAGCCAGGCUCGGUGCGGACGAGCCGUCUUCCUCCUUCGCCCGACGUCGUCUUCUCUUCCCCUCUUGCGAUGCUGACCUUUCCGUCUUCCCAAACCGACGGCACCAUCACGCGACACCUCCUCUUCCGCGCGUACAAAACCGCCAGCCAAGCUUCUUCUCCUCAUUUGCAUUGCCUCGCCCUCUCCCUUCCCUCAUGCUGCGCCACCCCUACUGGAUCGCUGCCGCCCGAUCGCGCCGGCAACCACCGUCGAUCCGUGCCCUAACGGUCCAUCGCCGAUGCAUUUCCCUCUUCGGGUUGCUGCCUCGUGUGAUCAAAUCUUCGGCCAAGAAAGGGGAUCUUAGUCCUAGACUCGAUCUCCUGUACCUCUAUGUACCGCAGCUCCGUCUUCGGACACAGCACUUCAGCCGAUUCAUCCUCUCGUCUUGAUUUCAUCAUCGUUGUGCAUUAACUCCGUCGCAGAUCUCCACUAUCGUGGAUCGACAUCAAUUUGGUCAGAAAGGAAGCUGCAGAUCUAGAUUUGGGGGGUAUUCGGUUGCUCCAUCUCAAGUAGGUAGGUAGGUGUUCUACCCUAGCUGUUGAUCUGGGUAUUAAGUCUGGUUAUGGUGUUGGCGUGAGGUCAUUGUCUGGAGGGCAGUGGCGUUUCUUGUUUCCAGCAGUAACUCCAGCUUUGUUUCCGGCAACAACCUCAUGAUAGCAUUCUGUUUUCUUUACUGAGCAGCUGCGGUUCUGAAUUGAGGUAA